CACAGUGGCGGCAGCUACCAUGCAAGUCGAGCGGUAACAGAUCCAGCUUGCUGGAUGCUGACGAGCGGCGGACGGGUGAGUAAUGCAUAGGAAUCUGCCCGAUAGUGGGGGAUAACCUGGGGAAACCCAGGCUAAUACCGCAUACGUCCUACGGGAGAAAGGGGGCUUCGGCUCCCGCUAUCGGAUGAGCCUAUGUCGGAUUAGCUAGUUGGUGAGGUAACGGCUCACCAAGGCGACGAUCCGUAGCUGGUCUGAGAGGAUGAUCAGCCACAUCGGGACUGAGACACGGCCCGAACUCCUACGGGAGGCAGCAGUGGGGAAUAUUGGACAAUGGGGGGAACCCUGAUCCAGCCAUGCCGCGUGUGUGAAGAAGGCCCUCGGGUUGUAAAGCACUUUCAGCGAGGAAGAACGCCUAGCGGUUAAUACCCGCUAGGAAAGACAUCACUCGCAGAAGAAGCACCGGCUAACUCCGUGCCAGCAGCCGCGGUAAUACGGAGGGUGCAAGCGUUAAUCGGAAUUACUGGGCGUAAAGCGCGCGUAGGUGGCUUGAUAAGCCGGUUGUGAAAGCCCCGGGCUCAACCUGGGAACGGCAUCCGGAACUGUCAAGCUAGAGUGCAGGAGAGGAAGGUAGAAUUCCCGGUGUAGCGGUGAAAUGCGUAGAGAUCGGGAGGAAUACCAGUGGCGAAGGCGGCCUUCUGGACUGACACUGACACUGAGGUGCGAAAGCGUGGGUAGCAAACAGGAUUAGAUACCCUGGUAGUCA
rnacentral:rRNA from 1 species